AAGAAGUUGAGUUUUUUGAAUCUCUUGAUUCUCAGAAUUCAACUCCAGCUCCUCCAUGAAUCUUCAAAGUAUGACAGGUAGUUAAGGUAGGAAGCUGCACUUUUGUUCUUUUUGACGUGAAUAUGCAGCCUUAACAAUGGACGGGAUAGUACUGACUUUGAAGCUGCUUUUUGUCUACUUUUUGAUGCGAUAAGCAUGCUUUUGUAUAACAAACAACUUGCU